UUGACCAGUUCAAGUUGUCAACUCGUCAGUAACUGUCAUAGGAAUCACUGUAAUAAACACAAUUCCACGAUCGAAUUGUUUACUUUCAUUUUUUGUUGUAACACUGAGGACUACAUAGAACUUUAUUUUGUGUAUGUGACAGAAGUAUGUGGAUAUCAUGAGCUUAAGCCAAUGUGCGAUACACAGACAGAGCAGCUGCUACAACAUGAACUGCAUUGAGGGCCACACAACACAUACGUAAUUAAAGGUGCAAAUUAUAGGGAGAAGCUUCAAAAUACGCUCUGUAGCACUGCAAAGUAUAACAUAUAUUGUAUGCUGUAACAUUCGCGGUGCUGGUCGCACUCUCCGUUGCAAUCUACAGAUCAGAUUGCCCCGCUUGCCACGAUAUCUUUCUUUAUUUUGCCACUCCCUGAUUGGCUGCCUAGCGCUCAAAAAGCGCGUCGCCGACCGAAUAAAGGUGAUUGUCUUCCUGGCGCUGCGUUGGUCGUCUGUUCCCUAGGCCGGUCGUCCUGCCGCGGCGUCUAGCCGUCGAAUACGUAACAGCUGGUGGCAGCGGACUGCGGACAGCGGAUGGAGCGCACAUCGGCGGUGGCCUUGGCGUCCGGUUUGAUCCUGUCGUACCGCCUGACGGAUGAACCCUACUCCAGAAGUCUGCGGCCCCCUGUCGCUACGUGCUCGGCAGCCUUCCGGCACUCGGCGAGCAGUGCUAAAUAUGAGCGUCACCUCCUCCUGGACGUCUCAGCCCCUCUCCACGGGCCUGUUGUUCGAGCCUCAAGACGCUUGGUGCCUUCUCCACCAUUACUGCGGUGUCCAGCUCAACUUGCCCGCCUCUGCCACCGAGCGCCUCAACGCGCUUUUCCAAGCGCAAGGACAAUCUGAUCUUGCGAACGCUUCAGUGCUGUGCUUGGACACGCUAGUUGCCCUCCUGUACCCGUCUUCAGUUGUUCAAGAAGCGUCAUCCUCUUGAACGCCUUCCGAAAAGGGUAGCUUUGGCCGAGCUGUAACAUUCGCAGUGCUGGUCGCACUCUCCGUUGCAAUCUACCGAUCAGAUUGCCCCGCUUGCCAUGAUAUCUUUCUUUAUUUUGCCACUCCCUGAUUGGCUGCCUAGCGCUCAAAAAGCGCGUCGCCGACCGAAUAAAGGUGAUUGUCUUCCUGG